UAUGUGUGCGAAAGCUAGCCAGCGAGGCGGAGAGACGGAGAACCUACGCGGUUUGGCCGCAGGUGGAGCCUUGGACAGACUGGCCCUCGCAGCUUCCUUCCACCACUAUUCCCGGCCCCGCCGCGCGCUCGGUCGAGGUCCCCGCGGGGGCGACGCCGGCAGGAGGCCAGCCCUUGCCUCCCCCACCCCCGCAUUUGCUCUAGCAAGGGGGAAAAAAAAAAAGAAUCCCGGACGGCAUUGCUGAGCUCUGUCAAAUCAGAAAAAUUAAUAAAAAUAGACGUAGUGCAGGAGCGAGUUACAAGAAAGGAUUUCAUCGAUUUUCUUAAAUGGAAAAGUUUUAAAGGAUGAGGUAACGUUGAACCAAGAAGCAGGAGAUUAAAUUUACCUAGUUUAAAAUUAGAGAAUGCAAGAAGAAAAGACUUUGAGUUAAUUUUCGCACGGCUGAGAAAUAACACCCAGAAUCUUCCUGGCAAUGACUAAAUCCUGAAGUUUCACCAUCCAAUUAGGCACCCGUCAUCCUGACCAGGGGUCAGACAGAGGCAGAGGAAAAAGGUGGCUUGCUUUGUGUCAGUGCUGGGAGCUAGCCCGUAACAACUCCUCUUCAAUGCUUAGAAGCCCACACUGCUGUCCCCCACAGCACCUGGAAAAAGUGUGAUGAAGGAAGAGGAACUGGAAAGAUGAGGCAAAUGAGGCAAACAGACAUUAAGAAAACGUGGCCAGUGUCUUCUUGUUGUGACGUGGCUGAGGCAGAAUUCAGAGCCAGGCCUUCAGCGUGCAGCCACCACCUGCCCAGUGCAGUUGGGCCAAAGAAGCACGGGAGUUACAUGCAGCUGUUGUUUCAGCCCUUUCGAGAAGCAGGUAAAAGUCCAAAACAUCCUUGAGAGUCCCAUGUGAGUGGGCAGCCCUCCUCCGUCUUAUGGCUGUGCCAUCUGUGUACACGGCCUCCAGGGAUAGAGGAAGCACUGAACUUCCUUGAUCCGCCUGAGACAUGGAUCCCUUGACUCCCCAUGGGAUCCAGGAGCCGGAUUCCAGGAGCACUCUUUGUGCCCAACAGGUACUUGCCAUUCACCGUCUUUGCUCUGCACCACAAAGCUGUAAGGCAGUGUGUGCACACUGCAUUCAGAGAUAAGAAAAUUGAAGCUCAGCGAGACUACCUUCACAGACCACACAGCUACCAGAGAAGGGCUGGAGCUGGGAUGUGGCUGUCUACCUGCAGAGCUGCUGGGCUGUCCUCUUCAGAAAACCACCGAACUUGCUGAAGUGGCUAAUUCAGUCAAGGGUUGGCACGGGGCAGGCUGUUCUAUUGAUGUUGGAUGAGAAAUUUAUCCAGCGUCAACAGAACAGACCCACAGUUGCGGGCCCGUGGCAGUCUCCUUCCACAACUCCCUCUCUCUCUAUAGUUUGCAACUUCAGAGCCUGUCAGAGUAGCAUGAAAUAGCCGUGUAUUUUCACAGUGGUAUAUGCCCCUGCGGUGGCUAGAUAUUUGGGGGAAAUGGAUCCUGAAGAGGAGAAAGAGAAAGUGGUAUUUAAACAAGAAACCUCUAGAAGAUGGCAGAGGAAAGAUCAUCACAAGUCCUUACAGAUUCACUUCUCAGUUUGAAACACUGAGGAGAAAUUGAGUCAGCCCAGCUCUUCGUUUAGUCUGUCAUUUUAAGAAACUUCCAGCCAUGUACCUCUUUUCUCUUUCCCUCUCUGUCCAAGCUUUACCUCACCAUAAAUAAUGCAAUUUUGUGUUUUAAAUAUAAAUCUUUCUUUACGUUGAAGUAUAGUUGAUUUACAAUAUUAGUUUCAGGUGUACAACAUAGUGAUUCGAUAUUUUUAUAGAUUAUACUCUAAAGUUGUUAUAACAUUUUGACUCUGUUUGCUCUGGUGUACAAUGUAUCCUGGUAGCUUAUUAAUUUUAUACAUAGUAGUUGGUGCCUCUUAACUCACUACCCCUAUCUUGCCCCUCCCCU